GACGAACGCUGGCGGCGUGCUUAACACAUGCAAGUCGAGNGGUAAGGCCCUUUCGGGGGUACACGAGCGGCGAACGGGUGAGUAACACGUGGGUGACCUGCCCUCAGCUCUGGGAUAAGCCUGGGAAACCGGGUCUAAUACCGGAUAUGACUCCAUGACGCAUGUUGUGGGGUGGAAAGCCUUGUGCGGCUGAGGAUGGGCCCGCGGCCUAUCAGCUUGUUGGUGGGGUGAUGGCCUACCAAGGCGACGACGGGUAGCCGGCCUGAGAGGGCGACCGGCCACACUGGGACUGAGACACGGCCCAGACUCCUACGGGAGGCAGCAGUGGGGAAUCUUGCGCAAUGGGCGAAAGCCUGACGCAGCGACGCCGCGUGAGGGAUGACGGCCUCGG
rnacentral:rRNA from 1 species